rnacentral:rRNA from 1 species
UACGUAGGUGGCAAGCGUUGUCCGGAUUUACUGGGCGUAAAGAGCGCGCAGGCGGUCGUUCAAGUCGCGUGUGAAAGCCCCCGGCUCAACUGGGGAGGGUCACGCGAUACUGAUCGACUCGAAGGCAGGAGAGGGAAGUGGAAUUCCCGGUGUAGUGGUGAAAUGCGUAGAUAUCGGGAGGAACACCAGUGGCGAAGGCGACUUCCUGGACUGUUCUUGACGCUGAGGCGCGAAAGCUAGGGGAGCAAACGGG